GACGAACGCUGGCGGCGUGCCUAAUACAUGCAAGUUGAGCGAUGAAGAUUGGUGCUUGCACCAAUUUGAAGAGCAGCGAACGGGUGAGUAACGCGUGGGGAAUCUGCCUUUGAGCGGGGGACAACAUUUGGAAACGAAUGCUAAUACCGCAUAACAACUUUAAACAUAAGUUUUAAGUUUGAAAGAUGCAAUUGCAUCACCCAAAGAUGAUCCCGCGUUGUAUUAGCUAGUUGGUGAGGUAAAGGCUCACCAAGGCGAUGAUACAUAGCCGACCUGAGAGGGUGAUCGGCCACAUUGGGACUGAGACACGGCCCAAACUCCUACGGGAGGCAGCAGUAGGGAAUCUUCGGCAAUGGACGAAAGUCUGACCGAGCAACGCCGCGUGAGUGAAGAAGGGUGUCGGAUCGUAAAACUCUGUUGGUAGAGAAGAACGUUGGUGAGAGUGGAAAGCUCAUCAAGUGACGGUAACUACACAGAAAGGGACGGCUAACUACGUG
rnacentral:rRNA from 1 species